UGGCAGCAGUGGGGAAUCUUGCACAAUGGAGGAAACUCUGAUGCAGCGAUGCCGCGUGAGUGAAGAAGGCCUUUGGGUUGUAAAGCUCUUUCGUCGGGGAAGAAAAUGACUGUACCCGAAUAAGAAGGUCCGGCUAACUUCGUGCCAGCAGCCGCGGUAAUACGAAGGGACCUAGCGUAGUUCGGAAUUACUGGGCUUAAAGAGUUCGUAGGUGGUUGAAAAAGUUGGUGGUGAAAUCCCAGAGCUUAACCCUGGAACUGCCAUCAAAACUUUUCAGCUAGAGUAUGAUAGAGGAAAGCAGAAUUUCUAGUGUAGAGGUGAAAUUCGUAGAUAUUAGAAAGAAUACCAAUUGCGAAGGCAGCUUUCUGGAUCAUUACUGACACUGAGGAACGAAAGCAUGGGUAGCGAAGAGGAUUAGAUACCCUCGUAGUCCAUGCCGUAAACGAUGUGUGUUAGACGUUGGAAAUUUAUUUUCAGUGUCGCAGGGAAACCGAUAAACACACCGCCUGGGGAGUACGACCGCAAGGUUAAAACUCAAAGGAAUUGACGG
rnacentral:rRNA from 1 species